rnacentral:tRNA from 1 species
UGCGGGGUCGGCUAACGGUAGGCCGCCAGACUUUGGAUCUGGCUGUCCAGGUUCGAAUCCUGGCCCCGCAG